rnacentral:rRNA from 1 species
GCGGCAAGACGGAAAGACCCCGUGAACCUUUACUAUAGCUUGACACUGAACAUUGAGCCUUGAUGUGUAGGAUAGGUGGGAGGCUUUGAAGUGUGGACGCCAGUCUGCAUGGAGCCGACCUUGAAAUACCACCCUUUAAUGUUUGAUGUUCUAACGUGGACCCGUGAUCCGGGUUGCGGACAGUGUCUGGUGGGUAGUUUGACUGGGGCGGUCUCCUCCUAAAGAGUAACGGAGGAGCACGAAGGUUGGCUAAUCCUGGUCGGACAUCAGGAGGUUAGUGCAAUGGCAUAAGCCAGCUUGACUGCGAGCGUGACGGCGCGAGCAGGUGCGAAAGCAGGUCAUAGUGAUCCGGUGGUUCUGAAUGGAAGGGCCAUCGCUCAACGGAUAAAAGGUACUCCGGGGAUAACAGGCUGAUACCGCCCAAGAGUUCAUAUCGACGGCGGUGUUUGGCACCUCGAUGUCGGCUCAUCACAUCCUGGGGCUGAAGUAGGUCCCAAGGGUAUGGCUGUUCGCCAUUUAAAGUGGUACGCGAGCUGGGUUUAGAACGUCGUGAGACAGUUCGGUCCCUAUCUGCCGUGGGCGCUGGAGAACUGAGGGGGGCUGCUCCUAGUACGAGAGGACCGGAGUGGACGCAUCACUGGUGUUCGGGUUGUCAUGCCAAUGGCACUGCCCGGUAGCUAAAUGCGGAAGAGAUAAGUGCUGAAAGCAUCUAAGCACGAAACUUGCCCCGA